UUUUAUAGGUUGACCUCGGAUCAGGUAGGGAUACCCGCUGAACUUAAGCAUAUCAAUAAGCGGAGGAAAAGAANNCAACAGGGAUUACCUCAGUAACGGCGAGUGAAGCGGUAACAGCUCAAAUUUGAAAGCUGCCAACAGGCCGCGUUGUAAUUUGUAGAAGAUGCUUUGGGUGUUGGCCUAGUCUAAGUUCCUUGGAACAGGACGUCAUAGAGGGUGAGAAUCCCGUAUGUGAUUGGUGCCAUCCCCCGUGUAAAGCUCUUUCGACGAGUCGAGUUGUUUGGGAAUGCAGCUCAAAAUGGGUGGUAAAUUUCAUCUAAAGCUAAAUAUUGGCCAGAGACCGAUAGCGCACAAGUAGAGUGAUCGAAAGAUGAAAAGCACUUUGGAAAGAGAGUUAAACAGUACGUGAAAUUGUUGAAAGGGAAGCGCUUGCAAUCAGACUUGCGGGCGGUUGAUCAUCCGAGGUUCUCCUCGGUGCACUCGAUCGUCUUCAGGCCAGCAUCGGUUUCCGUGGUGGGUUAAAGGCUGUGAGAAUGUGGCUCUUCGGAGUGUUAUAGCUCACGGUGCAAUGCCACCUACGGGGACCGAGGACCGCGCUUCGGCUAGGAUGCUGGCGUAAUGGUUGUAAGCGACC
rnacentral:rRNA from 1 species